rnacentral:rRNA from 1 species
CCUACGGGUGGCAGCAGUGAGGAAUAUUGGUCAAUGGGCGGAAGCCUGAACCAGCCAAGUAGCGUGCAGGAUGACGGCCCUACGGGUUGUAAACUGCUUUUAUACGGGAAUAACGCGCCUUACGUGUAGGGCUUUGCAUGUACCGUAUGAAUAAGGACCGGCUAAUUCCGUGCCAGCCGCCGCGGUAAUACGGAGGGUCCGGGCGUUAUCCGGAUUUAUUGGGUUUAAAGGGUGCGUAGGGCGCAUGUCAAGCGUGCUGUGAAAGGUCCGGGCUCAACCCGGGCCUUGCAGCGCGAACUGGCGUGCUUGAGUCCGCGGAAAGCAGGCGGAAUUCGUCGUGUAGCGGUGAAAGGCUUAGAUAUGACGAAGAACCCCGAGUGCGAAGGCAGCUUGCUGCAGCGGAACUGACGCUGAUGCUCGAAAGCGCGGGUAUCGAACAGGAUUAGAUACCGUGUAGUC